UGGGGAAUAUUGGGCAAUGGGCGCAAGCCUGACCCAGCGACGCCGCGUGUGGGACGAAGGCCUUCGGGUCGUAAACCACUGUCAGUGGGAAAGAUGGGUGCCGGUGUUAAUACCAUCGGCAUCUGACGGUACCUGCAGAGGAAGCCCCGGCCAACUCUGUGCCAGCAGCCGCGGUAAGACAGAGGGGGCAAGCGUUGCUCGGAAUUACUGGGCGUAAAGGGCGCGUAGGCGGGAUGGUAAGUCGGUCGUGAAAUCCCUCGGCUCAACCGAGGAACGUCGAUCGAUACUACCGUUCUUGAGGAUUGCAGAGGAGACUGGAAUUCCCGGUGUAGCGGUGAAAUGCGUAGAUAUCCGGAGGAACACCAGUGGCGAAGGCGGCUUCCUGGACCGAUACUGACGCUGAGGCGCGAAAGCUAGGGGAGCAAACGGGAUUAGAUACCCUAGUAGUCCCUGAGCGGGCUGGCAAGGCGCAU
rnacentral:rRNA from 1 species